UUCUAUGGAGGAGGCAGCAGAGACACUGCUCUCCUCGUUUGGAUUAAUUCUGAUAUAAUAACUGUUCGUUUAUUUAUCGGUGGAGCAGCAGAACAUUUUCCACAGACAGUUUUCCUGCCCGUUGGCUUGUUUUAACCAGUUUUCUACCUUCGGCUGAUUCUACCAGCAGACACUGAAAGGACUCUGAUAGUUCGAGUGAAAGCAGCAGUUCCUCCUUAAGGUCAGAGAUUGCAGCAUCUGAGGGCCUCUUCAAAAGAAGACGUAGUUGAUGAAGGCGUUCUGGAGCAGGACCAGAAAGACCACGACCAAGCAGCCUUGAGAUCUUAGGCAGCAUCUCCCUCAGACAUCCACCAACCACUGGACCACAUCUCCAAAGUUCUGCCAGGCCAGCUCAGCUUCCCCUCAGAAGAAGUUCCACCAGAUGAAGGAGCCUUUUGAGAGGCAGCCGGCAUCGUGAUUGGACUGUACUUUGGUCUGUUCCAAUCCAGCUUCAGCUCCAGAGACGGCAGGCAGGACGAGUCAACGGAGGCCGGGUGGACGAAGGCAUGCAGCUGAGUACAAUCCAGAAAACAACAGAGGAGGAGUGCAGCGGUACAAUAUACAAUAUACAUCGUAUAUUGUACAAAUAACAAGUCAAAGGAAAGAGACAUACAUUGUAGAAUUGUAGUAAUUGUGGGCUGACUGAUUUACUGAUUAUCAGUAUUUUAUUUUUUACUGAUUUACGGUAAUAAAUACAUUUAAACAUGGCGCUACUUUGGCUCUGAACCUUAAUCUACCUGUGGUCGCUCUGUCUUCUGGAGUGAUUUGAUUGGUUAUACGUCACGAAUAAAACUCCUUUAACUUAACAUCUGUAAACAAAACAAAAACGUAUCAACAAAGUUUCCUGUUAGAGUUUUUCUUCUAAGUUUAACUCCAAGAUUUUAAUUACUUUCAUGUACUGCAAAUGAAUAUCGACUCCAAAUGUCUCAGUAAUAAUCAUUAUCAGCCUUAAAAACCCACAAAACACCCCUCUAUACUCGACCACACUUAGUACAGUCCGGUUCCCCCUUCUAUAAAUCUGCUUGGAAUCGUCCACUUCCUGUUUGUCAAAGUGGCCUUCUACCUGGACAGGUUUUGUUGGAGCUCAUGCAGCAAACAUUUUGGGUAACUGCACUUUAAUAUGGAUGAAUGACACUGAAUUAGAGUGUGUUUUAAUGAGACUGAGUUAAGAUGUGUAGCUCUGUCAUUAAAUAGUAAAUUAUUUCUCUGAUUUCACAGAGAAAAGUCUGAAAUGUUUGCUAGGUUAGCGUCCCACA